UUGCAGAGGGAGCUCUCGGCAGCUCUGGGGUCCCUCUGCUCGCAGCAGCGCCGCCUGCGCCACUCGGUGGAGACGGAGUCCAGCGGCGGCGACGCGCGGACUGGGAGCGACAGCCGAGCAGCCUCGAAGGGCGGCCGGCUUUGAAUACAUGAGGAAGAAGAGUGGGAGACAGGAGGAAAGAUUUUAGGAGAUUAUUGCCUUUUCCCCUGGAGAUAUAACCUGGAGACAAAAAGUAGUACCGCCUUGUGAAAUCUCAAAUCCCGGAAGUCAACACUUGAAGACAACCCCCAGGGACAGGGGAGAAAAACAAGUGUCACCAGAGACAGACAAGUGCAGAUAAGGACAGCAAGCUGUGGGGAAAAGCCUUUUCAAGCUGCUGACCCGGGCGGUAGGUACCUUUUUUCUCCUGGUGCCCGCUGCCACCACCUCAAAGGGGUGAUUUAUGAUCUACCGCCUGAAGAACUCUUUCCAAAUAAACAAGGGUUGUUUUGGGGAGAGGUGCGAUGAGUAAGGUUCAAGUAUGAACAAGAGUCCUGCCAAAGUCCACAGUCAGGAAAGAAGCCACAAUGGAAAGGAAACCCGUGGAACCGCCACCCAGGUCGAGAGGCAGUAGUUCCCCCUUAUUUAGGGGAGUAGGCCCUAAGGCCCCAGUGGAUGCAUGAAACCAUGGAUAGCACCGAACCCUACACAUGCUGUCUUUUUCCUAUACAUACAUAU